rnacentral:rRNA from 1 species
UACGUAGGGGGCAAGCGUUAUCCGGAUUUACUGGGUGUAAAGGGAGCGUAGACGGCUGUGCAAGUCUGAAGUGAAAGGCAUGGGCUCAACCUGUGGACUGCUUUGGAAACUGUGCAGCUAGAGUGUCGGAGAGGUAAGUGGAAUUCCUAGUGUAGCGGUGAAAUGCGUAGAUAUUAGGAGGAACACCAGUGGCGAAGGCGACUUACUGGACGAUGACUGACGUUGAGGCUCGAAAGCGUGGGGAGCAAACAGG